rnacentral:rRNA from 1 species
UGAGGAAUAUUGGUCAAUGGGCGCGAGCCUGAACCAGCCAAGUAGCGUGAAGGGUGAAGGUCCUAUGGAUUGUAAACUUCUUUUAUAGCAGAAUAAAGUGACCCACGUGUGGGUUUUUGUAUGUAUGCUAUGAAUAAGGAUCGGCUAACUCCGUGCCAGCAGCCGCGGUAAUACGGAGGAUGCAAGCGUUAUCCGGAUUCAUUGGGUUUAAAGGGUGCGUAGGCGGCUUUUUAAGUCAGUGGUGAAAUCCUGCCGCUUAACGGUAGAAUGGCCAUUGAUACUGAGAAGCUUGAGUUCAGUUGAGGUAAGCGGAAUGUGUAGUGUAGCGGUGAAAUGCUUAGAUAUUACACAGAACACCGAUUGCGAAGGCAGCUUACUAAACUGUUACUGACGCUGAUGCACGAAAGCGUGGGGAUCGAACA